rnacentral:rRNA from 1 species
AGUGAACGCUGGCGGUAGGCCUAACACAUGCAAGUCGAACGGCAGCACAGUAAGAGCUUGCUCUUACGGGUGGCGAGUGGCGGACGGGUGAGGAAUACAUCGGAAUCUACUUUUUCGUGGGGGAUAACGUAGGGAAACUUACGCUAAUACCGCAUACGACCUACGGGUGAAAGCAGGGGAUCUUCGGACCUUGCGCGAUUGAAUGAGCCGAUGUCGGGUUAGCUAGUUGGCGGGGUAAAGGCCCACCAAGGCGCCGAUCCGUAGCUGGUCUGAGAGGAUGAUCAGCCACACUGGAACUGAGACACGGUCCAGACUCCUACGGGAGGCAGCAGUGGGGAAUAUUGGACAAUGGGCGCAAGCCUGAUCCAGCCAUACCGCGUGGGUGAAGAGGGCCUUCGGGUUGUAAAGCCCUUUUGUUGGGAAAGAAAAGCAGCAGGUUAAUACCCCGCUGUUCUGACGGUACCCAAAGAAUAAGCACCGGCUAACUUCGUG